rnacentral:rRNA from 1 species
ACAAGUACCGUGAGGGAAAGUUGCAAAGCACUUUGAAGAGAGAGUUAAAGAGGACGUGAAACCGAUGAGAUGGAAACGGACAGAGCUGGCGUAUCUGGUCUGCAUUCAUCCGUGUGUUCUUGGGCGUUUGGAUUGCCACUCUCCAGACUGGGAUGGUGUUCAUUCUGUUCAGGGGCUCAUGGAGCAUUUGCAGGCGGAGUGCGCUGAGAUGCUCGGAGCAGCUGCAUGAGCUUGGCUUUGAGGCCAGCCCUUCGGGGUCUGGUACCCGGGCUGUGGGAGUGCUGUUUGUUCUGGGUGCUGAGUGUGUGCAAUGGCAACGGGUCCGUGUUGGUUUGAGCUGGCGGUCGGUGGCGGUCGCGUGCGACACGUGCCAGCAGUCAGUUCGGUCCUGCUCGGGCUCUCAUUGCAUGUUCUCGGUGUAAAAGCCGGUCAUCUGUCCGACCCGUCUUGAAACACGGACCAAGGAGUUUAGCGUGUGCGCGAGUCAUUGGGAGUUGAAAACCCAAGGGCGUAAUGAAAGUGAAGGUCUCCUUGCGGAGCUGAUGUGUGAUCUCGUGCACCCCGGUGUGCGGGCGCAACAUAGUCCCGUCCCGAUCGCAUGCGAUGGGGCGGAGACAGAGCGUACGCGCUGAGACCCGAAAGAUGGUGAACUAUUCCUGAGCAGGAUGAAGCCAGAGGAAACUCUGGUGGAAGUCCGAAGCGAUUCUGACGUGCAAAUCGAUCGUCUGACUUGGGUAUAGGGGCGAAAGACUAAUCGAACCAUCUAGUAGCUGGUUCCUUCCGA